ensembl:lncRNA
AUUUUUCCAGUAUACACUUAUUUGCACAUACUGUAUUCAUCUUUGCAUCAUAUUAUAUUUGAUCAUAUUAGACAUUUUAAUGUUGUUCAUAUUCAUUAUGUAGAUGUCCGUGGCAAUGGGGGAGUGGUCAAGCAUCCGCUGCGGACAGAGAGGACGUGGGACGAAUCAGCAGAGUUUGGUGUAGAAGAACUUGGUUGGACUGCACAUAGCCAACUUUGUGACGUGUGACAUCUAGCCCAGAAUUUUCCACUCCAGACUGCCAGAGGGCGCCAUCGCCUGAAAAUUAAGCCCACUUCUUACGUGGGUGGCUGUGGCUCAGGUGGAAGUGUUCUUGGGCAAGACACUGAACCCCAAGUUGUUCCCGAUGGCAAGUUAGCGCCUUUAAUGGCAGCUCUCCUACCAUUAGUGUGAAUGAGACCCAGUGUAAAGUGCUAUAUACAUAUUGACCAUUACUAUUCUGUUUUGAUACUUAAUCUGCUAUUUGGUAUUUUGACCCUGCCUGGUACACCAGCCCUGAUUGUAAACUGUUUGGGUAUUGUUCAUGUUGUUUGUGAUUUUUCUGGUUACAACCCUGCCUGUUUUGACUGUGCUUUGUCCAAAUAAAACUUGGAUGGAUCUCAGAGUCGUACAUGAGAACACUGUUAGGUUAUUUCUUACCUCCCAGACCAUAGACCUUCUUUCCAGGAUGCCCAAUUUGGCUGGAUUGCGAACUCUAGAAUGGUUCAAGGUUGUGUCAAGCUUCUUCCCUUUCAAAAUUAUUGAGGCCACUGUAGUCCUGGGAACACAAAAU